GACGAACGCUGGCGGCGUGCCUAAUACAUGCAAGUCGAGCGCGCGGCGGACGGGUGAGUAACACGUAAGGAACCUACCGAUAAGCGGGGGACAACAUCCGGAAACGGGUGCUAAUACCGCCUACUUAUCGCAGGCCUUGUUGUGCAUUAGCUCGUUGGUGGGGUAACGGCCUACCCAGGCAAUGAUGCAUAGCCGACCUGAGAGGGUAAUCGGCCACAUUGGGACUGAGACACGGCCCAAACUCCUACGGGAGGCAGCAGUAGGGAAUAUUCCGCAAUGGGCGCAAGCCUGACGGAGCAACGCCGCGUGAGUGAAGAAGGCUUUCGGAUCGUAAAGCUCUGUUGGAAGAGAAGCGGUAUCCGACCAGAAAGCAACGGCUAACUACGUGCCAGCAGCCGCGGUAAUAC
rnacentral:rRNA from 1 species